rnacentral:tRNA from 1 species
CGGGACGUGGGGUAGAGGUUGCCCACCUGAUUUGGGAUCAGGCCCACGUCGGUUCGAGUCCGGCCGUCCCGACGA